UCGAAUAGCUUCGAUAUUGGUACUGACAAAGUUUAAUAGGGAAUUAGGUGAGAAUCCUAAACAGUCCUGCUGCCGUAUUGAGGUAGUUGUUUUUUGUGCGAAAGCAGCCACUGGAGUAAUCUGGGAAGGUAAAAAACAGCGAUGAUCUCUAAGUCGGAAUACCUGCCAAUAUUUUUGCGUAUAA
rnacentral:ncRNA from 2 species